UAACCUUCUUAGCACUUUUGGCUAAGAUCAAGUGUAGUACAGUAUCUGUUUUUAUCAGUUUAAUAUCUGAUAUGUUCUCUAAAUGAGGAUGUUAUAUUAAACAGAUGUUUAGAACAGGGAGCUGGAAUAGGGGCUUGCUCCUUCUGCUCCACACAUCAACCUGCUAUUGUAGUACCUCCAGGAAUGGUACUCUUGUU